GUUAGACUGGGUUACUGUUAGGGCUGGACUGGGUUAGACUGGGUUACUGUUAGGGCUGGACUGGGUUAGACUGGGUUACUGUUAGGGCUGGACUGGGUUAGGGCUGGACCGGGUUAGACUGGGUUACUGUUAGGGCUGGACUGGGUUACUGUUAGGGCUGGACUGGGUUAGACUGGGUUACUGUUAGGGCUGGACUGGGUUAGACUGGGUUACUGUUAGGGCUGGACUGGGUUAGACUGGGUUACUGUUAGGGCUGGACUGGGUUGCACUGGGUUACUGUUAGGGCUAGACUGGGUUAGACUGGGUUACUGUUAGGGCUGGACUGGGUUACUGUUAGGGCUGGACUGGGUUAGACUGGGUUACUGUUAAGGCUAGACUGGGUUAGACUGGGUUACUGUUAGGGCUAGACUGGGUUAGACUGGGUUACUGUUAGGGCUGGACUGGCCUGGACUGGGUUACUGUUAGGGCUGGAUUGGUUUAGACUGGGUUACUGUUAGUGCUGGACUGGGUUAGACUGGGUUACUGUUAGGGCUAGACUGGGUUACUGUUAGGGCUGGACUGGGUUAGACUGGGUUACUGUUAGGGCUGGACUGGGUUAGACUGGGUUACUGUUAGGGCUAGACUGUGUUAGACUGGGUUACUGUUAGUGCUGGACUGGGUUAGACUGGGUUACUGUUAGGGCUGGACUGGGUUAGACUGGGUUACUGUUAGGGCUGGACUGGGUUACUGUUAGGGCUAGACUGUGUUAGACUGGGUUACUGUUAGGACUGGACUGGGUUACUGUUAGGGCUGGACUGGGUUAGACUGGGUUACUGUUAGGACUGGACUGGGUUACUGUUAGGGCUGGACUGGGUUACUGUUAGGGCUGGACUGGGUUAGACUGGGUUACUGUUAGGGCUGGACUGGGUUAGACUGGGUUACUGUUAGGGCUGGACUGGGUUAGACUGGGUUACUGUUAGGACUGGACUGGGUUACUGUUAG
rnacentral:lncRNA from 1 species